rnacentral:rRNA from 1 species
GACGAACGCUGGCGGCGUGCUUAACACAUGCAAGUCGAACGGAAAGGCCCUGCUUGCAGGGUGCUCGAGUGGCGAACGGGUGAGUAACACGUGGGUGAUCUGCCCCUUACUUUGGGAUAAGCCUGGGAAACUGGGUCUAAUACUGGAUAGGACCAUGCUGUAGGUGGUGUGGUGGAAAGAUUUUUUCGGUAAGGGAUGAGCUCGCGGCCUAUCAGCUUGUUGGUGGGGUAAUGGCCUACCAAGGCGUCGACGGGUAGCCGGCCUGAGAGGGUGGACGGCCACAUUGGGACUGAGAUACGGCCCAGACUCCUACGGGAGGCAGCAGUGGGGAAUAGUGCACAAUGGGCGCAAGGCUGAUGCAGCGACGCCGCGUGGGGGAUGACGGCAUUCGGGUUGUAAACUCCUUUCAGCCAUGACGAAGCCUCUUUUGGGGUGACGGUAGUGGUAGAAGAAGCACCGGCUAACUACGUG